CUUAAAUGGGCACCGCCAAAUGCGCACCGGUUUUAAAAAAUCAGUGCGAAAAAAAUAGGCGAGAUUGAGGGAAAGAGUUUUCGCACCGGUUCUAACCAAACCGGUGCGAAAAGUGAGUAAAUCGCACCGGUUCAAAAGCUAUUGUAAAAUAAAAAAAAACCCGGUUAUAAUCUUCUUUCUUUCUCUUUCAAUUCCUCGAUCUUUCCUUCUCUCUCAUUUGCCUCUCUUUCCUCUCUCUCCCCUCCAUUGAAGCGUACUCGAAAUUCUCCAUUGAAGGGGCUUUAAUUUUGAGCUUUCUCUCCUCCACUGAAGCAGUCUCAAAGGGUUUGGUUUGUGGAGCGUACUCAAAAUUCUCCAUUGGAGUGGCUUCGGACUUUCUGAGCUUUCUCUCCUCCAUUGAAGCAGUCUCUAAGGUUAGAUUUGCUUCCUCGGGAUUCACAAUGAGGUAAAGCAGCAGACACUUAUAAUAUGGGGCGAGGAUGACAAGAUUAUCAGCUACAAGCUAGCAUUGAUAAUUUGCAGAAACUGCACGGUUAGCUGCAAGAUGCAAAAUUACGUCAAAUACCAGAUUGUGGCCGUAUCCCUCAUGUAGAAAAACCCAGCUCAGUUGCUGACUUGAUCAUCAAAUUUGCUUAACAGAAUUGUGGUACAUUGUCAAGAGUUUGAUUAUGUGGGCAUGUUCUUGUGACAUUGUCCUUUUCUGGAAAGUCCAGCUCUCAUUCAUGAUCUAAGGAGGUCCCAAUGGUUUGCCCUUUUCCAACCUUAACUUAUACAGCAAAAAAUAGUUCGAUUACUACAAGAGGGGGGGGGGUGAAUUGUAGACUAUAAAUGUUGAAGUGCAGGUUAAUUGUAAUAUUACAACCUUUGUUAAUGAAAAUAUGUAACUUUAUAUAUAUGUU